rnacentral:rRNA from 1 species
UGAAACAUCUAAGUACCCCGAGGAAAAGAAAUCAACCGAGAUUCCCCCAGUAGCGGCGAGCGAACGGGGAGCAGCCCAGAGUCUGAAUCAGCUUGUGUGUUAGUGGAACGGUCUGGAAAGUCCGACGGUACAGGGUGAUAGUCCCGUACACCAAAAUGCACAGGCUGUGAACUCGAAGAGUAGGGCGGGACACGUGGUAUCCUGUCUGAAUAUGGGGGGACCAUCCUCCAAGGCUAAAUACUCCUGACUGACCGAUAGUGAACCAGUACCGUGAGGGAAAGGCGAAAAGAACCCCGGCGAGGGGAGUGAAAAAGAACCUGAAACCGUGU